UACGGGGGGGGCAAGCGUUGUUCGGAAUUACUGGGCGUAAAGGGUUCGUAGGUGGCCAACUAAGUCAGACGUGAAAUCCCUCGGCUUAACCGGGGAACUGCGUCUGAUACUGGAUGGCUUGAGUUUGGGAGAGGGACGCGGAAUUCCAGGUGUAGCGGUGAAAUGCGUAGAUAUCUGGAGGAACACCGGUGGCGAAGGCGGCGUCCUGGACCAACACUGACGCUGAGGAGCGAAAGCCAGGGGAGCAAACGGG
rnacentral:rRNA from 1 species